UUAAUUGAAGCCAAAAAGAGGCAUAUUACUGUUAAUGAUAUUAUUGAAUGUAUGUUCCAAUUAAG
rnacentral:tRNA from 1 species